CCCCACUGCUAUCGGGAUAGGACUAGGACAUGCUAGUCGCGUGCUUCAGCCAAAACGAGGCACGGCAAACAGCUCAGUAACACGUGGCCAAUCUGCCCUUAGGACGAGAAUACCCCCGGGAAACUGGGGCUAAUUCUCGAUAGGUGAAGAACUCUGGAAUGAGUCUUUGCCUAAAAGAGCUUACGUUAUGCUCGUAAGUUUCGCCUAAGGAUGAGGCCGCGACCGAUCAGGUUGUUGGUGAGGUAAUGGCUCACCAAGCCUUUUACCGGUGCGGGCCGUGAGAGCGGGAGCCCAGAGAUGGGCACUGAGACAAGGGCCCAGGCCCUACGGGGCGCAGCGGUCGCGAAAACUUUGCAAUACACGAAAGUGUGACAGGGCUAUCCCGAGUGCCAUCCGCUGAGGAAGGCUUUUACCCAGUCUAGAACGCUGGGGGAAUAAGGAGGGGGCAAGUCUGGUGUCAGCCGCCGCGGUAAUACCAGCUCUCCGAGUGGUGUGGAUGUUUAUUGGGCCUAAAGCAUCCGUAGCUGGCUAAGUUAGUCCUUUGUUAAAUCCACCGAAUUAAUCGUUGGAUCGCGGGGGAUACUGCUUGGCUAGGGGACGAGAGAGGCAGACGGUAUUUUUGGGGUAGGGGUGAAAUCCUAUAAUCCCAGGAAGACCACCAGUGGCGAAGGCUGUCUGCUAGAACGCGCCCGACGGUGAGGGAUGAAAGCUGGGGGAGCGAACCGGAUUAGAUACCCGGGUAGUCCCAGCUGUAAACGAUGCAGGCUAGGUGUUUGGACGGCCACGCGCCGUUCUAGUGCCGCAGGGAAGCUGUUAAGCCUGCCGCCUGGGGAGUACGAUCGCAAGAUUGAAACUUAAAGGAAUUGGCGGGGGAGCACCACAAGGGGUGAAGCUUGCGGUUU
rnacentral:rRNA from 1 species